AAGCAUCUAAGCGGGAAGCCUGCUCCAAGAUUAGGAUUCCAUGGAUCUUCGAGAUCCUGUAGCCCGCAUGUUGAACACGUGUUUGAUAGGCCGGAGGUGGAAGCCCCGUGAGGGGUGGAGCCGACCGGUACUAACGGGCGACGGCGACACAAC
rnacentral:rRNA from 1 species